rnacentral:tRNA from 1 species
GCCCCGGUAGCUCAGUUGGAUAGAGCAAGAGACUUCUAAGCUUUAGGCCGCUGGUUCGAGCCCAGCCCGGGGUACCA